CCAACGAGCAGAAGCCAUGGCGUCCAGAAGCGAUGGCGCGGUCCCAGCCAGCAGAAGCGGCCACGUGGUCCCAGCGAGCUUCAGAGAAGCCAUGGUGGCUUCCAUGUGAUGGGGGAGCAGGAGGCAGGUCUCCGAGGUUCAUCUGAGUUGCUCCACAUGACACUGUUUUAUCAUUUUGGUGGCCAAAGAAUAUUCCCUAGUGUAUGCAUACAAAAGUUUCUUGAUCCCUUUGUGGAUGGACAGAUGGAGUUUCACUAUUGUUACCCAGACUGGAGUGCAAUGGCACGAUCUCAGCUCACUACAACCUCCGCCCUCUGGGUUCAAGCAAUUCUCCUGCCUCAGCCUCCCAAGUAGCUGGGACUACAGGUGCGCACCACCAUGCCCAGAGGGAGUCUUGCUCUGUCACCAGGCUGGAGUGCACUGGCCCAACCUUGGCUUUCUGCAACCUCUGCCUCCUGAGUUCAAGUGAUUCUUCUUCCUCAGUCUCUGGAGUAUCUGGGACCCCAGGC